UUUCGGCCAGGUAUACUGGCCCCAAUCUUGGUCCUCCUCCUCGGCCCGCCUUAUCCUCCGUCGCGAUUGCGUUGGCAUCGUCGUUCUUCCCGGGCCAUUCGAACUCUCCUCAGCAAUGCCGAUGCAGUUCCUCUCGCUGCCCACCGCCCCCGCCGCCUCCCCGGCGCCGCACCUCCUCCCUCCCAAGCCCUUCUUCCUCAAGCCCCUCUCCUCCUCGUCCUCCGCCGCCUCCUCCUUCCGCCGCCCGNNN
rnacentral:lncRNA from 1 species